UAUGUAUGAUGGUGCAUGCAAAUAUUCUCGCAUCUAUGUGGGGAAGGCGUGUGUUUAAUUUAAUUAGAUUCAAAGAAAUGAAUGAUUAUAUCUAAUUCUAAUUUGUUGCAAAACAGCUGGGGUGGGCCAUGCCAGAUGGUCGGUCCAAAUUCACAAAUCAAAGGAUUUUCAAACAAUAUGAAAUAAUAAUAUACUAAUUAAAACUAAAACCAAAAGUGUAAGCCUUUGUUAAUGUAAUUUAACUACCAAGAAUCGGAGCCACAUUUGAAAUUUGUAAAAAUUAUGGGUUCGAAUCUUUUAAAAAGUGUAUAUGAUAAAGAGCAAAUCUCACCUAAACGUUACGAUCAUAGUUAAGAAGACAAAAGAUAACCCAACAAGCCAAUGAGAUGUCAUAAGUUUAAAGGCUGAUGAUAAAAUAAUUAAUCAGUGGGAGCCGGUGUUUGGUUUGUAGUUAAUGGAGUUUGAUUGAUGAUAAAAAUAAUUGAAAUGCAUUUUGUUUUUGUCUGACAAUGGAGGAGGGUUUGGACCCUGCGGGGCCUAUUGUAGAAAAAGAGCAAUACACUAUCCAGUCCAUUGUUUGGAACUCAGGCAAAGAUUACAAGAGACAAUGCAAGAAGCAUGUUAGGAGAGAAGGGUGUGUCUCUGGGCAGCCUGUCCAAACCCCCCCAGCCACAAAAGUAAUACUACUACUUUUUUGUUUUUGGUAAAAUAAAAUUAGAAGUUAUUCAAUUUUUCAAGUUAAGAUAAAAUGUAUCAUACUCAAUAACUUAAAAAGUAACUAUUAUAAAUCAUGCAUUCAAAAAGAUUCCAACAAAAGAUCAGCAUUUGGAUUCAAGUUUAAGACCACUUGAUGGUACUACUAUUACUACUUAGCUAAUAGGAGAAGAAAAGGAAAAUCAUGUGUCCUACUGCACCUUUUCCCUAACUCACAGACAGCUUCCAACCUGUUGUCAACACAUUUCGACUGUUAGUCCCAUUCCAUUGUUAAACUUAUUCCCAAGUUCAAUAUGUCCCAUCCCCACAAAGAAUAGGUGUAGGGCACCUUUCUUUUUUCUUUUCAUGGACAUGAAAUUAAUGCCUUUGCAAACUUCAGUUUAUUUUAGCAUCGAUCCAGGAAAGUUUUAGUUUGUCGGUAGUGAUAAGGAUCCCCAUAAUUUCCACAUUACCUUGGAAUUUCAAGGAUGAAUUUCUAAGAUAUAUAAUUGCCCGUUACUUGAAUUCAUAUCAAGCAUUUCCUUCUCCUUUGUGAUUCUAAGCAACACAAGAUAAUGAUUAGAAAAAAGCAAUAUAUAGAUAACAGAAUGAAACUGAUAAAUAAUAUUAUAAAUGGUAAAUAAUUUUUGUGCCCAAACAAAAGAAAACAUAAAACCACUGGCAAACAAAAUGGGAACGCAAUCCACAGAAAAAAAAAACAUCCUUAAAAACCAUGGGAAUAAUUAAAAUGCAAAAUUUGGAUACAAGCUAUGUAUAGUUUCACACACUGAUAUUAAAAGAAAAAGAUGUCCUUAUAAACCAAGGUAGAUUGAACUCUUUGAUGCUGGACAAGGUAAUACCUAGACAUGUAUGGAACUAUAUUAAUGGAUCACUGCAUGCACAAUUGCACUAUUUCAAAUAACCUAAAAGCUUCAACAACAUGAAAAUUCUCAAAAAUCAUUCCACCAUAAAUGCCCUAGCAAAACCAUAACUUGAAUAGGACAUUCAUUUGACAUCACAUUAAGCACAUCCAUAGUGCAUAUAUGAUUCCAAAUUUUCAUAUGCUCAGAAGUAAAAAGCUUGUUGGCAUCUUCUGUUCUCAUCCUUGGAAUGGAACCAAAGAGAUCAACAAAACUUAAACAGUAAAUAUUGAGGAAAAAACCAAACCAUGAGAAUCAAAGCUUAGCAAGUCUAUCUUACUUUUGAGUACUCUUUCUGGAAAGCAAAACAAAAUUUUGGAAACAGGAUUAAAACUUUACAGAAACUUGACUUCAUGGUAGCAUGUGGAUGCAUACAAACAAAAGCAUAUAGUUAACAUGUAUUAAACAUUAAUGAGAACAGAAUAUUUUCACCUCAUUUGCAUAACACUCCUUAGCAUCUGCAUAUAAAUCAAGUGGCUAGUUUUUCCUUGUUAGACCAUGCAGUGAUAUAAAUAUAUAUUUAAAAGAUUGUCUGUACUAGUACAGUCAAUGUCUUCUUUUGAAAAUUAAAAGGACCACAUUCCCCCAAAAGGGAUAAGAAACCUUCCCACUGUAUCCUAUAAAAAACAUAUUACUUUGAUAUAUAGCUUUGGUCAACAUAUCUAGUCUAUUUCUGAACAACUAAACAACAGAAUAAGUGAGACUUGGAAAUAAAGACUAGACAUGACCUAGAAAAGUUACUUGAUAUUUCCAGAAAGCGCCAUUUCUUUUGCUAUAUAUCUUUUUUUUUUUUCUUUUGAAAUGUAAACGUUUAAGCUAUAUAUGUAUAUAACUUCACUUCAACUUUAAUUGAUUGAAUGCUCAAAUAAUGUGCAUUGACUUAAUACGAAGAUUAUAAACAAGUGUGCUAUGCAACAGUAUGUGAUACAAUUGAUAGUAAAUGAAGGAGGCUAACGAUAAUAAGCUGUAUCAAGAUCUCCAUGUAAAUUGCAAGUGACGGAACAUUUAACUAUAUGUUGAUCAAAUGCGUGUCUAUAACUAUUGGAAAGCCUAUUUACUGCACUAAUUAAUGAAUUAAUGGAAACAUUUCAGAACAUAUCAAAUUAUCUAGCAAGUGAAAAUAGUUGGCAAAGAUGACUUAAAACUUAAUAGAAAAGAGGUGAAAGUUACUUAAAAAACUUACUCAUGAUAUACCACUAAGUGGUUGGUUCAAUCAGUUAAAGAUUGUUCUUUU
rnacentral:lncRNA from 1 species